UACGUAGGUGGCGAGCGUUGUCCGGAUUUACUGGGCGUAAAGGGAGCGUAGGCGGACUUUUAAGUGAGAUGUGAAAUACCCGGGCUCAACUUGGGUGCUGCAUUUCAAACUGGAAGUCUAGAGUGCAGGAGAGGAGAAUGGAAUUCCUGGUGUAGCGAUGAAAUGCGCAGAUAUCAGGAAGAACACCAAUGGCGAAAGCAGCUUCUGGGACGGUACUGACGCUGAGACGCGAAAGCGUGGGGAGCGAACAGG
rnacentral:rRNA from 1 species